rnacentral:piRNA from 1 species
UGAGACCAUCCUGGCUAGCACGGUGAAA